rnacentral:rRNA from 1 species
AGUGAACGCUGGCGGUAGGCCUAACACAUGCAAGUCGAACGGCAGCACAUGUAUAGCUUGCUCUUACGGGUGGCGAGUGGUGGACGGGUGAGGAGUGCAUCGGAAUCUAUGUGUGCGUGUGUGAGUACGUAGGGAAACUUACGCUAAUACCGCAUAUGUCGUGCGGGUGAAAGCAUGGGAUCUUCGGUGCGUUUGUUCGUGAAUGAGUGGAUGUCGGAUUAGCUAGUUGGCGGGGUAAAGGUCCACCAAGGCGACGAUCCGUAGCUCGUCUGAGAGGAUGAUCAGCCACACUGGAACUGAGACACGGUCCAGACUCCUACGGGAGCACGCAGUGGGCACACUUGGACAAUGGGCGCAAGCCUGAUCCAGCCAUACCGCGUGGGAGAAGAAGGAGUUCGGGUUGUAAAGCCCUUUUGUUGGGAAAGACAAAAAACAGGUUAAUACGACGCUGUUCUGACGGUACCCAAAGAAUAAGCACCGGCUAACUUCGUG